AAGGUGGAAGGCUACAUCGUCACAAACAUGUCUGACUUCCGUUCGAAACGCCAUUGUGUUCCGGAUUGAUAACAUUAUGUCGUGGUACAAAAUAGCUAUACACCGUUUAAUUGAACUCUUCUAACUAAGGAGACGAGAUAGGACUGAAAUCACCAAAACGCUUAGAAAAUAUGUCAAUUUCCUUCCUGUUUAAAGCUUUUAACUAACAUUGAUUAUCAGCUGUUUUGUACGGAAAACGUGGACUCUAAAUAAUAUACCGUUUCCCUGCUCUGCUGCCAUUGGCAAUACAUUUUUGUCAUGUCAUCUGCAACAGACGAUCAUACAUAUGUGGCGGAUUAUCGAUAUAGAUACAGCUAGGUAGCAAUAGCAGUGGAAGCCCGGAUUUGCAAGCAAAAUGAGGGAAAGACAGGAUUCUGAAAAGGAGCAUGUUUUUCAUUUCCACACAUGCAUGUGUAUCACUAUGGACAUCUAAUGUUUUUGUGGGAUUUUGUCCAGCAGUUUGCCUUAACAGAAUUUUUUUAUAUUUUAGUUUCAUAUUUAUGUGGAUUCCAAUAAAAAUCAUACAAACUUCA